GGAUCCCUAAGAAUGGCUCUAGCAAUUGCAAUUCGCUGCUUCUGGCCUCCACUGAGCAAAUCAUUAUCAACAAUUGUGUGGAAGCCAUUGGGUAGAGAUGAAAUAAAAUCAUGGGCAGCGGCCUCCUUGGCAGCCCAUUCCACAUCUUGUUGAUUGACAUCUCUACUACAGCCAUAUCUUAUGUUUGAGCUGAUAUCCAUGC
rnacentral:misc_RNA from 1 species